GUAAAGAGCUCGUAGGUGGUUUGUCGCGUUGUUCGUGAAAACUCACAGCUUAACUGUGGGCGUGCGGGCGAUACGGGCAGACUAGAGUACUGCAGGGGAGACUGGAAUUCCUGGUGUAGCGGUGGAAUGCGCAGAUAUCAGGAGGAACACCGGUGGCGAAGGCGGGUCUCUGGGCAGUAACUGACGCUGAGGAGCGAAAGCGUGGGGAGCGAACAGGAUUAGAUACCCUGGUAGUCCACGCCGUAAACGGUGGGUACUAGGUGUGGGUUCCUUCCUUGGGAUCCGUGCCGUAGCUAACGCAUUAAGUACCCCGCCUGGGGAGUACGGCCGCAAGGCUAAAACUCAAAGGAAUUGACGGGGGCCCGCACAAGCGGCGGAGCAUGUGGAUUAAUUCGAUGCAACGCGAAGAACCUUACCUGGGUUUGACAUGCACAGGACGCCGGCAGAGAUGUCGGUUCCCUUGUGGCCUGUGUGCAGGUGGUGCAUGGCUGUCGUCAGCUCGUGCCGUGAGAUGUUGGGUUAAGUCCCGCAACGAGCGCAACCCUUGUCCUAUGUUGCCAGCGGGUUAUGCCGGGGACUCGUAGGAGACUGCCGGGGUCAACUCGGAGGAAGGUGGGGAUGACGUCAAGUCAUCAUGCCCCUUAUGUCCAGGGCUUCACACAUGCUACAAUGGCCGGUACAAAGGGCUGCGAUGCCGUGAGGUGGAGCGAAUCCUUUCAAAGCCGGUCUCAGUUCGGAUCGGGGUCUGCAACUCGACCCCGUGAAGUCGGAGUCGCUAGUAAUCGCAGAUCAGCA
rnacentral:rRNA from 1 species